CGAGCCUAAUACAUGCAAGUCGAGCGAAUGGAUUGAGAGCUUGCUCUCAAGAAGUUAGCGGCGGACGGGUGAGUAACACGUGGGUAACCUGCCCAUAAGACUGGGAUAACUCCGGGAAACCGGGGCUAAUACCGGAUAACAUUUUGAACUGCAUGGUUCGAAAUUGAAAGGCGGCUUCGGCUGUCACUUAUGGAUGGACCCGCGUCGCAUUAGCUAGUUGGUGAGGUAACGGCUCACCAAGGCAACGAUGCGUAGCCGACCUGAGAGGGUGAUCGGCCACACUGGGACUGAGACACGGCCCAGACUCCUACGGGAGGCAGCAGUAGGGAAUCUUCCGCAAUGGACGAAAGUCUGACGGAGCAACGCCGCGUGAGUUGAUUGAAGGCUUUCGGGUACGUAAAACUCUGUUGUUAGGGAAGAACAAGUGCUAGUUGAAUAAGCUGGCACCUUGACGGUACCUAACCAGAAAGCCACGGGCUAACUACGUGCCAGCAGCCGCGGUAAUACGUAGUGGCAGCGUUAUUCNGGAAUAAUUUGGGGCNGUAAAGCAGCGCNGCCACGGUGUUUUUAA
rnacentral:rRNA from 1 species